rnacentral:sRNA from 3 species
UAUCUCUCCGUACGGGGAAGGAUGAGAAGCUUCGACUAAGGUUCGAGUUCGAUUCGAGCGAAAGCGAGAAAGCGUUGCCAACGGCAACGACCCGAAGGGCGAAGCGCGCAGCGCUGAGUAAUCCUUCCCCCGUCAUCC